UACAGGUGGUGCAAACGUUGCUCGGAAUCAUUGGGCGUAAAGCGCACGUAGGCGGUUCGUUAUGUCGGAUGUGAAAGCCCUUGGCUUAACCGAGGAAGUGCAUCCGAAACUGGCGAGCUAGAGUACGAAAGAGGAUCGCGGAAUUCCCGGUGUAGAGGUGAAAUUCGUAGAUAUCGGGAGGAACACCGGUGGCGAAGGCGGCGAUCUGGGUCGAUACUGACGCUGAGGUGCGAAAGCGUGGGGAGCAAACAGG
rnacentral:rRNA from 1 species